UGUAUUUUCAUAUUCUAGUGUUUUACUUUUGUAUUUCUAGGAAGUACGACGUUUUAGAAAUAUCAUGUUUAGGCCUGCCAGACAUGAAAUGCUUUAGAAUGUUAUAUAUUGUGAGCCGUUGUUAUUUCUC